rnacentral:rRNA from 1 species
UACGUAGGUGGCAAGCGUUGUCCGGAUUUAUUGGGUUUAAAGGGUGCGUAGGCGGUCCCAUAAGUCAGUGGUGAAAUACGGCAGCUCAACUGUCGAGGUGCCAUUGAUACUGUGGGACUUGAGUGUUGAUGAGGCAGGCGGAAUUGACGGUGUAGCGGUGAAAUGCUUAGAUAUCGUCAAGAACACCGAUAGCGAAGGCAGCCUGCCAAGCAACAACUGACGCUGAGGCACGAAAGUGCGGGGAUCAAACAGG